GAUGAACGCUGGCGGCGUGCCUAAUACAUGCAAGUCGAGCGAACAGAUAAGGAGCUUGCUCCUUUGACGUUAGCGGCGGACGGGUGAGUAACACGUGGGUAACCUACCUAUAAGACUGGAAUAACUCCGGGAAACCGGGGCUAAUGCCGGAUAACAUUUAGAACCGCAUGGUUCUAAAGUGAAAGAUGGUUUUGCUAUCACUUAUAGAUGGACCCGCGCCGUAUUAGCUAGUUGGUAAGGUAACGGCUUACCAAGGCGACGAUACGUAGCCGACCUGAGAGGGUGAUCGGCCACACUGGAACUGAGACACGGUCCAGACUCCUACGGGAGGCAGCAGUAGGGAAUCUUCCGCAAUGGGCGAAAGCCUGACAGAGCAACGCCGCGUGAGUGAUGAAGGGUUUCGGCUCGUAAAACUCUGUUAUUAGGGAAGAACAAAUGUGUAAGUAACUGUGCACAUCUUGACGGUACCUAAUCAGAAAGCCACGGCUAACUACGUGCCAGCCGCCGCCGUAACAC
rnacentral:rRNA from 1 species